UACGUAGGGUGCAAGCGUUGUCCGGAAUUAUUGGGCGUAAAGAGCUCGUAGGCGGUCUGUCGAGUCGGAUGUGAAAAUCCAGGGCUCAACCCUGGACCUGCAUUCGAUACGGGCAGACUAGAGUUCGGUAGGGGAGACUGGAAUUCCUGGUGUAGCGGUGAAAUGCGCAGAUAUCAGGAGGAAUACCGGUGGCGAAGGCGGGUCUCUGGGCCGAAACUGACGCUGAGGAGCGAAAGCGUGGGGAGCAAACAGG
rnacentral:rRNA from 1 species